rnacentral:rRNA from 1 species
CCUACGGGGCGCAGCAGUGGGGAAUAUUGGACAAUGGGCGAAAGCCUGAUCCAGCCAUGCCGCGUGUGUGAAGAAGGCCUUCGGGUUGUAAAGCACUUUCAGUGGGGAAGAAAGCCUUGGGGCUAAUACCCUCGAGGAAGGACAUCACCCACAGAAGAAGCACCGGCUAACUCCGUGCCAGCAGCCGCGGUAAUACGGAGGGUGCGAGCGUUAAUCGGAAUUACUGGGCGUAAAGCGCGCGUAGGCGGUCUGAUAAGCCGGUUGUGAAAGCCCCGGGCUCAACCUGGGAACGGCAUCCGGAACUGUCAGGCUAGAGUGCAGGAGAGGAAGGUAGAAUUCCCGGUGUAGCGGUGAAAUGCGUAGAGAUCGGGAGGAAUACCAGUGGCGAAGGCGGCCUUCUGGACUGACACUGACGCUGAGGUGCGAAAGCGUGGGUAGCAAACAGGAUUAGAUACCCUUGUAGUC